rnacentral:rRNA from 1 species
GACGAACGCUGGCGGCGUGCUUAACACAUGCAAGUCGUACGGUAAGGCCCUUUCGGGGGUACACGAGUGGCGAACGGGUGCGUAACACGUGAGUAACCUGCCCACAACUUUGGGAUAACGCUAGGAAACUGGUGCUAAUACUGGAUAUGUGCUCCUGCUGCAUGGUGGGGGUUGGAAAGCUCCGGCGGUUGUGGAUGGACUCGCGGCCUAUCAGCUUGUUGGUGGGGUAGUGGCCUACCAAGGCGGCGACGGGUAGCCGGCCUGGGAGGGUGACCGGCCACAUUGGGACUGAGAUACGGCCCAGACUCCUACGGGAGGCAGCAGUGGGGAAUAUUGCACAAUGGGCGCAAGCCUGAUGCAGCAACGCCGCGUGCGGGAUGACGGCCUUCGGGUUGUAAACCGCUUUCAGCAGGGACGAAGCUUUUUGUGACGGUACCUGCAGAAGAAGCACCGGCUAACUACGUG